AAGAAUUGUUUUUAUCUCCACAAGUGCUAAAAAAAUUAAUUAUAAAUGGAUACAAAAUUUUAAUGUUUGAUAUAAGAAAAUGAGAAGAAGAAAAAACAUGGCUGAAGUUUUCAAAUUUGUUUAUGUUAAGAUCAUUUUAAUUUUCCUAUUUUUUCUUGUAAAUGGCGUAAGUUCUGGAAAAUGUGUCUUUUGCUUUGCACACUUUGUAUGUAAGGAACCAUGUGAACCUUAUAAAGGGCUUUGUAUUAAUGAACAAUGUAGAUGCUAUAAAUAACCAAUGUAUGUGUUGAGUAACGGUUCCAGAUAAGUUGAAAUUAUACAUGGUGCUUAUAAGUCCACAAUUUCAGUUAUUUACACAUCAUACUGUUGUAACUAUUAUAAUUAUUUCAAGUUUCAAUUUACAAUACCUCCAUCUUUCAAUCUUUUUGACAA